AGCGACAUGUCAGUCAAGGGGAAGGGAGGCGGGACAUCCCUGAAAUCCAGAAGCUCAUUGGCUGCCGAAUAACACCGAGUCUAACGUCAACAGUACAGUUUAGAAUGUGCCGGGCCGUUGUUAUGCAUGCCAUAACAAAAAAGGCAGGAAUACUGAGGUAGCAACGAAGUGGAUGUCUACAACUUCUUGAAGAUGCCGGCCCCAAAGACGUCCCUGGUGUGAUGCAAAGGCUGUCCAGCUGGUUCACAGACAUCUCCUGUUAACUGAAAGAGAAGCAUUUAAAAUAGUUGUCCAUUUUGACCAUGAUUGCAUUGACAACAUGCCCAGGCACACUGUCUGCUUCCCAUUUCUCAGUGCCACCUGCACAAAAACAGUGACUUCUCUAUCAGCUCACCUCAAGUCUUUUGAGGAGUUUAAAAAACAGUUAUUUUAAUUUCUCUGAAUUGUGGUUCAGAAUUUCACAGAAUCUAAAACACUUGACUCUGUGUUUCAAAGAUCUUUGCAAAACCAUCAGUCUUUUGUACAAAACACAUUUAAUGGUCAAAGAUUAAAAAAUGAAGCUUUACAAAAUACCAGUGGUGAUUAUUAGCCAUUUAUUUUCUUAAGGGGUGUAGUAUUUUGUAAGGCAGAUGAGAUCUGUUCACAUUGUUAGUUUUUGUCACAUCCUGCUGAGAUGACAUGCAUAGAUCAGUACAUAAAUGUUAAUGUCUUGGCCAUGGUUUUCCGAUGUCCCACAAGGGUUGAACAGGUCUGAGAGGAGAGAGGACAAGCCACAGAGGGAACAACUCUAACAGUUUCCUGGGGCCUGUUUCAGAAAGAAGGUUAAGUGUAAAC